UAGACAAACUUUUGCCCCAGCCACACAGAAGCAAACUAUUGAAAAGGGGAGGGAGUGUGUCCUCAGGGCACUACCUUUUUACCUGAAUGAAGACCCAAGCAUCCUCUUCAAAGAAUAAUUGCUACAGCUACAGCUGUUCAGAGGGAGCUGGAACAAAUUACCCUUGCUAUCUUCACCAUCGAAAAAGCUGAUGUCAGCACUCCUCCAGCCGAUGUGGGUAUAACCAUCGAGGGUGUUCUGCAUGACCUGGAAGACAUGGCCUCUACAUGUGCACUCUUAAUGGGUGGGAUAUAUGCACUGAAUCGCAGUUAACCUCGAGACUGAAAGCUUUCUUUGAAGUACUUCAGAAGCUCUUCCUUCAUCUGUAUGUCAGCAGACUCUUGACCAAGGUACAGAUGCUCAAGAAUAAACUGAAUGAAUAAGCCAACCCUUAAUUUGGAUGAUGAAUGUUCUGUCAGAUGGACAGAAGUUUUUCAGAGGCUGAAUGGGAAUAAAACGGUAAUUUGUUGAAAAUGACAGAUAAAGGGAAAAUUACAUUUAAGAGAAAUUUUGAAAAGUUUGUAAACUACUACAAUUUGAGAGAUUUUACUCUUGUGGGUGGAGGGGGGGCUAGUAAGAGACAAUCAAAAGUAUUGAGAUUUAAAGGAUUUAAUUGAGAGAUGAUAGUGCACCAGAAAUGUUGAAGGGUGGUGUGUAUAUUAGCGUUCAAGGUAUAUUGUUAUGAGGUGGAAAUAUGUUCAUAUUCUGUUUGUGUUACAUUGUGUGCAUUGUAAAGGUAAUGGCAAUACAUACUAAGAAUAAGGGUAAGUUAGAAAUGCAGGAUGAAUGUAUAUUUUGCGGACUUUUAAAGACGAACAAUUGUUUCCAUGUUAAAAUGUUUACAACCCAAGUUUUUUGCCCAAACACUGGUAAAAUAAACGUUGAGGGUGGCAAGUGUUAAAUGGUUACUGCUGUGCUGUUGCAAAAAAAACUGAACGCUGACAAGCUGUUAUAUUGUUAGACCAUAAUGCUGGCAUGCUUUAUUUAAGUUUUAUUUGGGAUGGUGAUAUAAUUUUCUUUGAUUGCUAAUAUCA